GUGCUUGCUUCGGCAUCAUGUACGCUGAAACUGGAACAACACAGAGAAGAUUAGCAUGGCUCCUGUGCAAGGAUGACAUGCAAAUUUGUGAAGCAGAGAGAGAGAGA
ensembl:snRNA U6 U6 spliceosomal RNA